rfam:Spiroplasma clarkii strain CN-5, complete genome.
UCUGGUGGCCAUAGCGCUAGGGUAAUACCUGUUCCCAUGCCGAACACAGUAGUCAAGGCUAGCUGCGCCGAAGAUAGUAUCAUGCAAAAAUAGGACGUUGCCAGUU